UACGUAGGGUGCAAGCGUUGUCCGGAAUUAUUGGGCGUAAAGAGCUCGUAGGCGGUCUGUCGCGUCGGAUGUGAAAACCCAGGGCUCAACCCUGGGCCUGCAUUCGAUACGGGCAGACUAGAGUUCGGUAGGGGAGACUGGAAUUCCUGGUGUAGCGGUGAAAUGCGCAGAUAUCAGGAGGAACACCGGUGGCGAAGGCGGGUCUCUGGGCCGAAACUGACGCUGAGGAGCGAAAGCUAGGGGAGCAAACAGG
rnacentral:rRNA from 1 species